UGCAAGUCGAACGAGCUUCCGUUGAAUGACGUGCUUGCACUGAUUUCAACAAUGAAGCGAGUGGCGAACUGGUGAGUAACACGUGGGGAAUCUGCCCAGAAGCAGGGGAUAACACUUGGAAACAGGUGCUAAUACCGUAUAACAACAAAAUCCGCAUGGAUUUUGUUUGAAAGGUGGCUUCGGCUAUCACUUCUGGAUGAUCCCGCGGCGUAUUAGUUAGUUGGUGAGGUAAAGGCCCACCAAGACGAUGAUACGUAGCCGACCUGAGAGGGUAAUCGGCCACAUUGGGACUGAGACACGGCCCAAACUCCUACGGGAGGCAGCAGUAGGGAAUCUUCCACAAUGGACGAAAGUCUGAUGGAGCAAUGCCGCGUGAGUGAAGAAGGGUUUCGGCUCGUAAAACUCUGUUGUUAAAGAAGAACACCUUUGAGAGUAACUGUUCAAGGGUUGACGGUAUUUAACCAGAAAGCCACGGCUAACUACGUGCCAGCAGCCGCGGUAAUACGUAGGUGGCAAGCGUUGUCCGGAUUUAUUGGGCGUAAAGCGAGCGCAGGCGGUUUUUUAAGUCUGAUGUGAAAGCCUUCGGCUUAACCGGAGAAGUGCAUCGGAAACUGAGAGACUUGAGUGCAGAAGAGGACAGUGGAACUCCAUGUGUAGCGGUGGAAUGCGUAGAUAUAUGGAAGAACACCAGUGGCGAAAGGCGGCUGUCUAGUCUGUAACUGACGCUGAGGCUCGAAAGCAUGGGUAGCGAACAGGAUUAGAUACCCUGGUAGUCCAUGCCGUAACGAUGAGUGCUAGUGUUGGAGGGUUUCCGCCCUUCAGUGCUGCAGCUAACGCAUUAGCACUCGCUGGGGAGUACGAC
rnacentral:rRNA from 2 species